GAUGGAACGUAGCGAAAUGCGAUACUUGGUGUGAAUUGCAGAAUCCCGUGAACCAUCGAGUCUUUGAACGCAAGUUGCGCCCGAAGCCAUUAGGCCGAGGGCACGCCUGCCUGGGUGUCACACGUCGUUGCCCCCCCAUCUACUCCUUCGGGAUUGCGGGGGGCGGAUGAUGGCCUCCCGUGCGCCUCGUCGCGCGGUUGGCAUAAAUGCCAAGUCCUCGGCGACGCACGCCACGACAAUCGGUGGUUGCGAAACCUCGGUUGCCCGUCGUGUGCGGUCGUCGCGCAUCGAGGGCUCGAAAAAAUUGCCGGGCUCCGGCUCGGCUUUCAACGCGACCCCAGGUCAGGCGGGGUUACCCGCUGAAUUUAAGCAUAUCAAUAAGCGGAGGA
rnacentral:misc_RNA from 1 species